rnacentral:lncRNA from 1 species
UUUUAAAUAAGUGAACUUUUCUCAAUUUUGUCAUUUUAUCCAAAUUUGGUGAACUUUUCUCAAAUUACAAACUUUUUCCCAAAUCUGUGUGAACUUUUUUAACCCAUGAAUUGUUUUUCAUUUUCUGUGAACUUUUUUGCAAAUUACAAACUUUUCCAAGUGUUAUUUUUAUUAAAUAUGUGAACUUUUCUGGGAACCCCGUUAAACAUUUUCAAAAUCCUCAAAAACCUAACAGAAAAAAAGAUACGGGGCUUUUAAGAUCUGGAGAGGCAAAAAAAUUCAAAAAAAAUCAAACUUACUAAUGGCGCACGUGCCCAUGGUGCGCCAUUAGUAUCUUCCCGCCUUCAAAAUUCAAAAUAAGUCAACAAAAUAAAAAAAAAAGUUACUAAUGGCGCACCUGCCCAUGGUGCGCCAUUAGUAUCUUCCCGCCUUCAAAAUUCAAAAUAAAUAAAAAAAAUAAAAAAAAUAGUAAUGGCGCACCUGCCCGCGGUGCGCCAUUACUAUGCCAUAUAUAUGUCUGGGCGUGGUCCUCUCCUCCUUCAUUUUUCUCCUCCACUCCAUCUCUCCUCCACUCCAUCUCUCCUCCACUCCAUCUUCCCUUCUCUCCUCCACCAUACUACCCUCCUCCUCUCCGGUGACCUCCUCCUCCUCCUCCUCUCCGGCGACCCCCUCCUCCUCCUCUUCGGCGACCUCCUCCUCCUCCUAUCCGGCGACCUCCUCCUCCCUCCUCUCCUCCCCUCCCCUCCCCUCACGGUUUCUCCUCCCUCCUCGACUCAGUUAUAUAUUAGCCACGCCCAGAAAUCCUUCCUCGACUCACUGCGAGAAAGCGAUGCCGGAGCCAUCAUAUGAGUUUAGUGCAACAAGUAUCCCGUUCUAGUUGUAGUAGAUCGGAAUACAACUCCGAGCACCCGUUACCAUGGACACGGCUAUUCAAAUAGAUUACUUCCUUGCAGGGGUGCACCAACUUACCCAACACAAUCGAUUAACUCCGGCCAGACACACUUUUCCUGGGCAUGCCCGUCCUAGGCUAAUCGACACACCAUAGUCCUACCUAGGCUCACAGAGAGGUCAGCACGCCUGUCUACAUCCUAAAUGUGAAGGGUGGUUCGGCCGCUCAUCCUAAGCACUCCUGCACAUUGCGUGGGCGGUCCAGCUUCACCUGAUCUGCAGGAUAUCUACUAGUCUAUGUGCCACAUCUCUGAACUGUGAUGUCUGUAGAGCUUUCGGAAGAAUUGUACGGCGUCGAAUGCCCAUACUUAUUCCCGCGUGGUGGUUAGUGCGAAAUGGCUAGAGGCCUACUCAGAUCACAUAUCCAAACCCGUUAGUGUAUACGGAGCUCGCGGGAACGAUCGAUGAUCCUCUCACCCCAUUUCACGGACUUACGACAGGGGCCAGGCCCAUCCCUCUCUAGGGAGGUCUCUGCCUGCCCGGUCGUGCCACGUCAUUACAUUGCGGGUACCCUCAUGGUCAACCCAACUUCAAUAACUCUCGAGGGUACCCCUUGGGCCGACCCAACUUCAACAAAGGACCGAGGUGAAGGUCAAGGUAACCAUGUGUCCAUAACAUCAAGGGGGAAUCUGAGGAAUCACCCUCGAUGGAUUCCUACUCGAUGUAACCGUCAAGGUGACCUUUGAGGAAUCACCCUCGAAGGGUUCAGACUUCAGGUGUCGCACAACAACUCAUCAUCAGGAGUGGUGAAUAAGAAAAAACAAUCAGUGUGCAUUUUGUAAAUGUUCAAAAUUUAUUAAAAAGGAACCAAAAAAUAAAAAAAUAGGAAAGGAAAAAUGGAAAAAAAGAAAUGAAUAAAGGAAAAUUAAAAAGAAACUAAAUUUAAAAGGAAAUCAACCUUCUUAAAGGACACGGCUAAUGUUUUCUUAGCGCAUGGUGAACAUUUUUUAAAAUUCAUGCAAACAUUCUUUUACAAAAUAUGACAUAAAGUUUUCAAAAUACAUUCCGAAUAUUUUGUAAAACUUUACGAACAUUAUUUUCUAUACACAAUGAAAAAUGGCACUGAGAGAACAAAUAAAAAUUAAAUAAAAAAAAGGGGACAAAACAUAGAAAAAAAUCUAUCCCAGUCCAUUAGUGUUAAGCACAGAUGGAAAAAAUAACAGAAAACUGAUUGAGUGGGGUGGCAAAUCAUAUUUGGCACCAAUGCGUGAAUUGGUACGCCCAGUUCCUAUUCCGCACCUUGAGCGUGGGAUAUUAGUACAGAUCGCUAAUCGGCGAAAACCCUUCACUUUAUAGUAGGCGGCUGGCUUCUUAUGUCAAGAGAACGGAUGGAGUAUUAUAUAGGUAAAUGGGUCGGCUGGCUUCUUAUGUAGGUUCUGUUUUCCAACAGUUUUUAUGGAAGCUUUUUCCAAUGAUUUUUACUGCAUUUGUUUCUGGGACGUUUUCUUCGUGUUUUCACCUGCCGGUUUUCUCUCUUUUUUUUUUCGUUUUUCGCCUUCUUUUUCUUAUUUACUUUUCCUGUUUCACCUUCUUUUUCUUUUUUAUAAAAUUUGUGAACUUUUUAGAGAUCCGAGAACUUCUUUCAAAUAUUUUUUUCCUUUUCCAAAUGUCUCUGAACUUUGUUUUAAAUAAGUGAACUUUUCUCAAUUUUGUCAUUUUAUCCAAAUUUGGUGAACUUUUCUCAAAUUACAAACUUUUUCCCAAAUCUGUGUGAACUUUUUUUAACCCAUGAAUUGUUUUUCAUUUUCUGUGAACUUUUUUGCAAAUUACAAACUUUUCCAAGUGUUAUUUUUAUUAAAUAUGUGAACUUUUCUGGGAACCCCGUUAAACAUUUUCAAAAUCCUCAAAAACCUAACAGAAAAAAGAUACGGGGCUUUUAAGAUCCGGAGAGGCAAAAAAUUCAAAAAAAUUCAAACUUACUAAUGGCGCACCUGCCCAUGGUGCGCCAUUAGUAUCUUCCCGCCUUCAAAAUUCAAAAUAAGUCAACAAAAUAAAAAAAAGUUACUAAUGGCGCACCUUCCCAUGGUGCGCCAUUAGUAUCUUCCCGCCUUCAAAAUUCAAAAUAAAUCAAAAAAAUGAAAAUAAAAGUUAGUAAUGGCGCACCUGCCCGCGGUGCGCCAUUACUAUGCCAUAUAUAUGUCUGGGCGUGGUCCUCUCCUCCAUCAUUUUUCUCCUCCACUCCAUCUUCCCUUCUCUCCUCCACCAUACAACCCUCCUCCUCUCCGGUGACCUCCUCCUCCUCCUCCUCUCCGGCGACCUCCUCCUCCUCCUCUCCGGUGACCUCCUCCUCCUCCUAUCCGGCGACCUCCUCCUCCCUCCUCUCCUCCCCUCCCCUCCCCUCACGGUUUCUCCUCCCUCCUCGACUCAGUUAUAUAUUAGCCAUGCCCAGAAAUCCUUCCUCGACUCACUGCGAGAAAGCGAUGCCGGAGCCAUCAUAUGAGUUUAGUGUAACAAGUAUCCCGUUCUAGUUGUAGUAGAUCGGAAUACAACUCGGAGCACCCGUUACCAUGGACACGGCUAUUCAAAUAGAUUACUUCCUUGCAGGGGUACACCAACUUACCCAACACACUCGAUUAACUCCGGCCAGACACACUUUUCCUGGGCAUGCCCGUCCUCGGCUAAUCGACACACCAUAGUCCUACCUAGGCUCAGCAGAGAGGUCAGCACGCCUGUCUACAUCCUAAAUGUGAAGGGUGGUUCGGCCGCUCAUCCUAAGCACUCCUGCACAUUGCGUGGGCGGUCCAGCUUCACCUGAUCUGUAGGAUAUCUGCUAGUCUCUGUGCCACAUCUCUGAACUGUGAUGUCUGUAGAGCUUUCGGAAGAAUUGUAUGGCGCCGAAUGCCCAUACUUAUUCCCGCGUGGUGGUUAGUGCGAAAUGGCUAGAGGCCUACUCAGAUCACAUAUCCAAACCCGUUAGUGUAUACGGAGCUCGCGGGAACGAUCGAUGAUCCUCUCACCCCAUUUCACGAACUUACGACAGGGGCCAGGCCCAUCCCCUCUCUAGGGAGGUCUCUGCCUACCCGGUCGUGCCACGUCAUUACAUUGCGGGUACCCUCAUGGUCAACCCAACUUCAAUAACUCUCGAGGGUACCCAUUGGGCCGACCCAACUUCAACAAAGGACCGAGGUGAAGGUCAAGGUAACCGUGUGUCCAUAACAUCAAGGGGGAAUCUGAGGAAUCACCCUCGAUGGAUUCCUACUCGAUGUAACCGUCAAGGUGACCUUGGAGGAAUCACCCUCGAAGGGUUCAGACUUGAGGUGUCGCACAACAACUCAUCAUCAGGAGUGGUGAAUAAGAAAAAACAAUCAAUGUGCAUUUUGCAAAUGUUCAAAAUGUAUUAAAAAGGAACCAAAAAAUAAAAAAAUAGGAAAGGAAAAAUGGAAAAAAACAAAUGAAUAAAGGAAAAUUAAAAAGAAACUAAAUUUAAAAGGAAAUCAACCUUCUUAAAGGACACGGCUAAUGUUUUCUUAACGCAUGGUGAACAUUUUUUAAAAUUCAUGCAAACAUUCUUUUACAAAAUAUGACAUAACGUUUUCAAAAUACAUUCCGAAUAUUUUGUAAAAACUUUACGAACAUUAUUUUCUAUACACAAUGAAAAAUGGCACUGAGAGAACAAAUAAAAAUUAAAUAAAAAAAUAAAAGGGGACAAAAUAUAGAAAAAAAUCUAUCCCAGUCCAUUAGUGUUAAGCACAGAUGGAAAAAAUAACAGAAAACUGAUUGAGUGGGGUGGCAAAUCAUAUUUGGCACCAAUGCGUGAAUUGGUACGCUAAGUUCCUAUUCUGCACCUUGAGCGCGGGAUAUUAGUACAGAUCGCUAAUCGGCGAACACCCUUCACUGUAUAGUAGGCGGCUGGCUUCUUAUGUCAAGAGAACGGAUGGAGUAUUAUAUGGGUAAAUGGGCCGGCUGGCUUAUUAUGUAGGUUCUGUUUUCCAACAGUUUUUAUGGAAGCUUUUUCCAAUGAUUUUUACUGCAUUUGUUUCUGGGGCGUUUUCUUCGUGUUUUCGCCUGCCGGUUUUCUCUCUCUUUUUUCGUUUUUCGCCUUCUUUUUCUUCUUUACUUUUCCUGUUUCACCUUCUUUUUCUUUUUUAUAAAAUUUGUGAACUUUUCAGAGAUCCGUGAACUUCUUUCAAAUAUUUUUUUCCUUUUCCAAAUGUCUCUGAACUUUGUUUUAAAUAAGUGAACUUUUCUCAAUUUUUUUAUUUUAUCCAAAUUUCGUGAACUUUUCUCAAAUUACAAACUUUUUCCCAAAUCUGUGUGAACUUUUUUUAACCCAUGAAUUGUUUUUCAUUUUUUGUGAACUUUUUUGCAAAUUACAAAGUUUUCCAAGUGUUAUUUUUAUUAAAUAUGUGAACUUUUCUGGGAACCCCGUUAAACAUUUUCAAAAUCCUCAAAAACCUAACAGAAAAAAAGAUACGGGGC